AGCGAACGCUGGCGGCGUGCCUAACACAUGCAAGUCGAACGUGAAAAGGGAAACCUGAGUAAAGUGGCGUACGGGUGAGUAACGCGUAGGUAAUCUACCCCAGAAUCUGGAAUAACCUGCCGAAAGGCGGGCUAAUACUGGAUAGAGCGAGGGAACUCGUAAGAGAGUUUUUCGGGAAAGGGAGCCCGCAAGGGCCUUCGUUCUGGGAUGAGCCUGCGUCUCAUUAGCUAGUUGGUAAGGUAACGGCUUACCAAGGCGAUGAUGAGUAGCUGGUCUGAGAGGAUGAUCAGCCACACUGGAACUGAAACACGGUCCAGACUCCUACGGGAGGCAGCAGUGGGGAAUCUUGCGCAAUGGACGAAAGUCUGACGCAGCCACGCCGCGUGAGGGAAGAAGGCCUUCGGGUUGUAAAGCUCUGUCGGAUGGGACGAACAUCUUCAUAGUGAAUAGCUAUGAGGACUGACGGUACCAUCAAAGGAAGCACCGGCUAACUCCGUG
rnacentral:rRNA from 1 species